rnacentral:misc_RNA from 1 species
AUGCGAUAACUAGUGUGAAUUGCAGAAUUCCGUGAAUCAUCGAGUCUUUGAACGCACAUUGCGCCCCCUGGUAUUCCGGGGGGCAUGCCUGUCCGAGCGUCAUUGCUGCCCAUCAAGCACGGCUUGUGUGUUGGGUCGUCGUCCCCUCUUCGGGGGGGACGGGCCCCAAAGGCAGCGGCGGCACCGCGUCCGAUCCUCGAGCGUAUGGGGCUUUGUCACCCGCUCUGUAGGCCCGGCCGGCGCUUGCCGAACGCAAAACAACCAUUCUUUCCAGGUUGACCUCGGAUCAGGUAGGGAUACCCGCUGAACUUAA